UGGUUGUGAAUUCCUUUUUAAAACUCAGAUCAGUGUUUUUAAGGAAUUUGACAAUCUUUUAAAGUGAUGGAGCUCAUCUUUUCUCCCUUUCCCCCGAAAAUCGUUUGUGGACGCUCAAUACAGGCCCUCCUUCAUGUAUCAGUACACACCCAGGUAGUUUUGGGAAAGCUCAGGCUUUGAAUUUAGAUCAGUGGUGUUGGGUAGAAAUGUGUCAUUUUUAAUAUUCUGGUAGCCAAAUCUGUGUUUCAACCUGUAAUCAAAAUAAAUACAUGAUGAGGUAAAACUGUUGCAUAUUGUACACUUCGAGUCUGACUCCCGUCAGUGAAGCACAUUUCAAGUGUUUGGUUGCCACAUGUGGCUCAUGUGGCAGACCCACACAGAUUCAGACCUUAAUCUUUCUUCAUAAGGCCCCUGUUCUCUUAAUGACAAACACUGCAAUUCCAGCAGCUGCACUGACCUCAGAGCCCAAUAGAACCUGGAGGUCUCAGUCUCGGUUGUGUGAAUGAAUGGUCUUAUUUUCUUCAUCUGGGCUGUAAGUCUGCCUUUAUUUCUUUGCCAUCUUUUUGUUUACUGUGCCUAGUGGCAGAAAAAGUGACCACAGCUUGCAUAUCUUCUACAGCGUCACAGACUUCUGUUGCCAAGGACUAGGGGGCGUUUCUGAAUUCACACGGUUCGUUGUUCUUACAAAUACUGCGGCAAAAUGGUAUACAAGAUGUCUGUACUAAAUACUGACCGUUCAGCAGAGGGUACCUGCGGGCAGCCGACGGAGGUCAGCCAGGAUGCUGGAGAGAUUGUAAAGUCGUUUGUUUGUAGUGGCAUGCGAAAUGGUUGAGAAACACCAUACAAGGGACACCUAAUUCUCCUCUGCCAGGAAUCCUGCUGGGGAGAUGGUGUGAUCAGUGAGCAUCAGAACCCACACAGCAACCUCCUCAGCAUACUUUUGAGUUAGGCAAAGAAACAGAGUAUUGGUGACGAAUGGAGGAUUGGGGAUGACAUAGAUUUUGCUGAGGGAAGUAAUGGAAAGAGCGAUAUUCCUGAAGGUAGAACUGGGUUAACCUGGAUGAGUGUGACUAUGAUAAAAGUCUCUGUUCAAGACUUCAUUUCUCAAGAGAGACAGCAAAUUCCAGGUUGUGAUUAAUGUGAUUGCUGGUUAAUAAUUCUGAUAGUGACUGCAAACGUGAGAAUGGUAAAGCUGUGCCCAGCACCGUAGGUUGAGGGCUCCCGUUGUCAGCUGUACUUGAUCUCUUGUCCUCUGACAUAGAUACUUGAAAAGCCUGUCCUCAAAAGAAAAGUCUCAGUGCUCUGAAUCAUUAACGAUACUUAGCCUUCCACCAUUCGUAGGAGACCUUGGCAAGAAUUAAAGUCGUCAUUCUUCAUUCCAGCAAAAAUGUUCAUCUGGUCUGCCAGUAAACCAGGCAUCCGUUUUUUGCUGGGCCAAUUCACGUCAGACUGCGUGACAAGAGUUAGUUACGCCAUUAGAAAGGUCUGCUUAAUUCUUGGCGUGACAUAUGAGAUUUGAUAAAAGAUGUAUGCUUAAACACACUGGGGGGGCACUUUGCCCUCAAUUUUGUAACAGAUACACAUGUGUCACAUGUGAGAAAUUCCUGGAGUUAACCAGAUGAUUGAGCUUUGAAGGGGCAGGACAGGGAGGGUUACUUGCUUCCCGGGAGGAGUAGUGCAGAGAUCUUUACCAGCAGAGGAGGUGUAGGGUGAGGCAGAAACUGGACAAGUAAACAGAAGCUCUUGACCUUGGAGAAGAAGAGUCACGAUGUUUUUUAGUAAUGGUUUUUGGUUUGUACCAGACUUCUUCCUCUGGCUGAACGGUUGAGCCACACCAUAUGAAACCCUUGAGAUGGUGCAGGGAACCCUUCUUUUCCUUAAGACCCAGAGGUUUUGUUUCUAAACAAAAUCAAAUUCAGAGCAUCACUGGACUGUACACCCGAAACUGAUACAGGGUUGUGUGUCAGAUGGAUCCGAU